UGCAGUCUGCAACUCGACUGCACGAAGCUGGAAUCGCUAGUAAUCGCGGAUCAGCACGCCGCGGUGAAUACGUUCCCGGGCCUUGUACACACCGCUCGUCACACCAUGGAAGUCUGCAAUGCCCGAAGCCGGUGGCCUAACCACUUAUGUGGAAGGAGCCGUCUAAGGCAGGGCAGAUGACUGGGGUGAAGUCGUAACAAGGUACC
rnacentral:rRNA from 1 species